rnacentral:misc_RNA from 1 species
UACGUAGGGUGCGAGCGUUAAUCGGAAUUACUGGGCGUAAAGCGUGCGCAGGCGGUUUCGUAAGACAGAGGUGAAAUCCCCGGGCUCAACCUGGGAACUGCCUUUGUGACUGCGAGGCUAGAGUACGGCAGAGGGGGGUGGAAUUCCACGUGUAGCAGUGAAAUGCGUAGAGAUGUGGAGGAACACCGAUGGCGAAGGCAGCCCCCUGGGCCGAUACUGACGCUCAUGCACGAAAGCGUGGGUAGCAAACAGG